rnacentral:rRNA from 1 species
UACGGGGGGGGCAAGCGUUGUUCGGAUUUACUGGGCGUAAAGGGCGCGUAGGCGGUCAGCACAAGUCAGUUGUGAAAUCUCCGAGCUUAACUCGGAAAGGUCAACUGAUACUGUGCGACUAGAGUGCAGAAGGGGCAACUGGAAUUCUCGGUGUAGCGGUGAAAUGCGUAGAUAUCGAGAGGAACACCUGCGGCGAAGGCGGGUUGCUGGGCUGACACUGACGCUGAGGCGCGAAAGCUAGGGGAGCGAACGGG